ensembl:lncRNA
CCCCACCAAUGGCUCCAGGACUGCUUUCUUCAUGGACGCCAUGAAAUCAGCUUCAAGUCUGCCUGCUCAAGCUGCGGGUUUCCCGGGUGACCAGGCGGGGCGGGGGAAGGGCUAGGCAGGCAGUUGGAGUCCAUGGAAGGCUCGGACCGAGCUCUACGCAGGCCCUUUACUCAUGCCCAGCCUCUCCACCACUCUUGGCAGAUUAUUAAAGCACACUUUUAGGUGUGUCUGGGUGGGCCAUGGGCCAUGUCGUUGGGCACUGUAUCUGGUCCCUGCUCUGUAUUCCCUGGCACUGUUCUGCCCUGCUUCCUGGCUGCCAUGAACCAGACAUCUUUGCUCUGCCACACCCUUCCACCAUGAUGUUUUUACCUUGGAGCCCGCCAACCAUGGACUAAAUCCAUUGAAACUAUUGUUUUCAGUGUGGAGCUGCUAUGAAUAUUCUCCAUGUCCUUUCCUGAACCUAAUAUUAACCUUGAUAUGUCAGAUGAAGUUUAGUUUCUUGGGACAAAAAAUGCCAUGCCACUCUGGUCUUUGGUGUUUUAAACCUUUGGGCAACUCGUCAUUGUGAAAGUGUGGGUGAAAGAGAGCUAUGUCUUAAUUUUAGAACAUGGAAAAAUGAUGAGGUGGAUGGGCAGCAGAGUGGAACCUUGGCUGUGGACACCUACUCAGA